rnacentral:rRNA from 1 species
GAUGAACGCUGGCGGCGUGCCUAAUACAUGCAAGUCGAGCGAACAGACGAGGAGCCUGCUCCUCUGACGUUAGCGGCGGACGGGUGAGUAACACGUGGAUAACCUACCUAUAAGACUGGGAUAACUUCGGGAAACCGGAGCUAAUACCGGAUAAUAUAUUGAACCGCAUGGUUCAAUAGUGAAAGACGGUUUUGCUGUCACUUAUAGAUGGAUCCGCGCCGCAUUAGCUAGUUGGUAAGGUAACGGCUUACCAAGGCGACGAUGCGUAGCCGACCUGAGAGGGUGAUCGGCCACACUGGAACUGAGACACGGUCCAGACUCCUACGGGAGGCAGCAGUAGGGAAUCUUCCGCAAUGGGCGAAAGCCUGACGGAGCAACGCCGCGUGAGUGAUGAAGGUCCUCGGAUCGUAAAACUCUGUUAUUAGGGAAGAACAAAUGUGUAAGUAACUAUGCACGUCUUGACGGUACCUAAUCAGAAAGCCACGGCUAACUACGUG